rnacentral:lncRNA from 1 species
GGAAAGGUCGUGACAGGGUGAGUCGAUGUCUGAAGGGCAGCAGCACGUGAACCGGCCACGCGCUAUCAGCACAGAGAGCUCAGGUGGAAUCCCUCCGGAGCUGCAGCAGGGCAGUGCUGGAGUGCGGAGGUGACCCAGAGCCGGAGCUGAGGGCUGACCCGGGGAGCUGCAGGCUCUGAGCUGGUUGUGUAGGAGGGUGCUGUGCUGCCUCCUGCAUCUCAUGCUCAUCCUGCAGACAAACCUCCGCCUCGAUGGCUGCUGCUGUUUUCUUCCUGGUUGCCGGAAGACGUGUUCCCACAGGCCUAGCUGGGUUUUUGUGCUUCAUGCCUUAAUUGCUUCAUCCUUAUCUGGAAAUGAAUUUGGAGAAGUACAGCUAAAACAAACACCCAGUCUUGUUCUUGGAAACACCAAUGUCUGUUUGCCAGACGUGUCUGUGACCUUCCAGGUUAAUGAGCAACGCUCUGAGGCAAUGUGGGGUUGCGCCUCUCCCCUGGUUGGGCACCAAAGGGGAAGUCAGGUAGGUGGAGGCCUGGAAAAUGCCAUGGGGAAUGGGUUCAGCUCAGGGUGAGCAGGGUCUCUGGAUGAUGGGCAGGUGUAGGGCCAUCUCUACGGGCGUUCUUUCACAUUCAAAGCCUCAGGCCAACAUUGGAGAUGCUGCAAAUGCCAGAGAUGAGAUGAGGGGAAACACAUCAAGGCUUUCUUUGCUUCCUGCCUUUGAGCCUGUGAUGGGUUUCUGUGGGUCUGAAGUCCUGCUGUAAGAGCUCGCAGCAGCUGGAAGUGUAAUGCACUGCAGCUCGGUGCCUCCUGAGGCACUCGGGCACAGCCUGGAGGAGUUUAAUGGCACUGAGGAUGGUUUUACCAACGCAUGAACCAACAUGGGCUGAGAGAGCAACUCACAAUACCUUCCUGCAACAGAGAAAGUCCAGUUUCCAUAAUAAAUAAUGAGGAGGCGUUACUUCUGGAGCAACCUGUCUAUUCCUCAGUCAUCGAAGGUGCUGAAAAGCAGAUAAGGCUGCACGCUUGCCUCCUCGUCAGCCACCCCACAGUACUGCUGGUUACACCGCUGGUGAAUGCUAACGUCAAACUGAUUUGCUCCCAAGAAGCCACUGCUGCGUGCUCCUGCAGGGAUGCUGCGGGCUGCCCCCCGCUCUCUGCUGUGCUUUGUGUGCUCCACGGGUGUUCUCUCCCUGAAGCAGUGGUUACGUGGGAUUUGGGGCUCCCUUUCCAACCCCUCCUGCGAAAGGAGAGCACAGGGCCAAAAGGUUUCUCUGUCCUCCCACUUCUGCAGUUCUCCCUGAAGCAUUUCUGCCUUCACAUAUGUGACUUCCACGGUCAGCGAGGGAAAUUGGAGACCUGCUGGGCAGAUAUUGGUAUUCAAGAAACAACAGAGGAGUCAUCACGUUGCUGUGAAAAUACACAAGAUGUGUUGUCAGCAAUAGCUGCAGUGAUUGCUCGGUGGUGUCCAGAACCAGAGAGAAGGAAAGAUCUUCAGACCAAGGGUGGCACAUGGACCUUCCUGGGGAGAUCUGAAUGGUAUCACAGCGCAAACAGCUUUUGUUCGGGUAGCCGUAGUUCAGGCUGAGGCACAGCUGCCCCAAAAUAGAGCCCAGACAGACAACGCCGAGGAUGGCUCGAGGCUUUGGGAGGACAUGGCAGAGGGAACCUUACCCUGUGUGGGGCACACAGAGCCUCGCCGAUGCUACACCUGCGCAGGAAGGAUAGGGGUGAUUUCCAAAUCAAUGUACCGGUGCUCAUUUUUUGUUUGUUUGUUUGAUUUUUGUUUUCAAAACCUGUGCAGGGCUGCUGGGUUGAUGUCACCACCGCUUUGUCUGGCUUUGGCCUGAGGGGCAGGAGGGAGUCUGGUCACCCCCGUAAUCCCAGCAGCCUCCAAUGGCAACGACAGCGCUCGGAUGAAUGAAGGCAGCAGCACUGUGCAAAUUACCUUUUCUUUCUUAUCCACAGUAAGACAGAUAAUAAUCCUCCUACGGGACUAAUUACAGCCAAUGAAAAUAACUCCCACUGCCAGUAUUUGAAGGAUAACCACUUAGAUGAAAAAGAGUGAAAAAUGAUUAUUAUUUUGUGCGUGGCUCUCUCUCGCCCCAUCUAUUCUGACCUCAGUAAAUCACAGUGUAAUUAAUCACUGAGGAUUAAACACCGCAGGGAAAAGAGUAGGAAAUUAUGUAUAAGCAAAACUUGAAAUGACUUUGACUUACCAUAAAUUUGGGUUAUCUGUCUCACAGAAUACAAUUCCUAGGCUGCCUCUUAUGGAAUAAAUCUAUCCCGACCUGUGUCCAUGAGAACUGUAUGAAUAGUGAAGACUGGAGUAUCGCUGGGUGUGUAAGAAACUAAUCAAAAAAGGCAGUGACUGUGGAAGAUGUGGGUUGGCUCUUCGGGCAUUCCAGCAGCAGAAAAAUGCACAGAGAUCCCUCAGCAGACAGGGUAGGACUUAAGUGCUCAUCUUUAAAGGUGGAAACCAGCCUCAGAG